CAUAGUUUUGGAACAAGGAGCGCUAACUUCUCGCGAUUACUUGCAUUUUUUAUCCGUUACAAAUGCCCGAUUCGUUAUAAGCGGAAAUUUUCGUCGAAAGUGUCGAAUAAAGUGACGAGCGUUUGACGGGAGUGUCGAAAAAAUAACACGAGCGUUUGUCAGGACAAUCGAAUAAAGUAACGAGCUUUUACCGAAACGUAUGCUACGAGUGUAGGGAUCAACGGUAUUUCGUCGAUUACCUGGCAGCGGGAUCGUUUAUUCAAAUCAAUGCAAGUGUAUGUCCGUGUUCUGAGACUUGCCAAACGGCCGGCAUUUAUCUUCUUGCUAUAUUUAUUGAUGCUUCAUUGGAGCAUAGCAAUCCAAAGCAUAAUUUGUGCAUGGAGUAAUCUAAACUGCAAUGCUCUUAACUGGUACUCAUGGCUGCUUUGACGGAGCAUAGCAAUCUAAAGUGGAAUUUGUUUAGCGAGUAAAUUGAAUUACAAUAUUCAAAAACUGAUACUUAUUGAUGCUUUGAUGGAGGAUAGCAAUCUGAAAUGGAAUCUGUGUAGCAAGAAAACUAAAUACUCUAAAAUUGGUGGAACUGAGGGCCUACAGGAUACAUCGGUCGAUUACAAGUGUGAUUUUUGUCGGGAAUGUCGAAUAGUUUUUAUCGGGCGUUUAUCGGGAGUGUCGAAUAAUCUUUGACGGGCGUUUAUCGUGAGUCGAAUAAGUUUUGAUGCGUUUGUCGAGAGUGUCGAAAAAGUGACGGGCGAUUAUCGGAAGUGUCGAAUAAAAUAACGGGCGUUUGUCAAGUAUUCGUGAUUAAUGAUGUUUCGUCGAUUGUCUUGCGGCGGGAUCGUAUAUUUCAUUCGAUGCAAGUGGAAUCAAAGGCUUGCAGCGCAAGGUUACAUCAGUCAGUAUUGAGUAUAAAUUUUGUGCGCGUAAUCAGUGGUACGAAAUAUAUUCGUUUCGUUAUAAUGUAACAAAAUGUAAGUCGGGAGUGUCGCGUUUAAAGUGUCGCGUAGUGCAUUCGGGUACGCACGCGAGCAAUGCGUGCGUCGUGAACGCGAGUGAGUGUUUCAAAGGUGAGAAUGAAGUGGAGGAGGCCUAGGUGGCAUCAUGUAACAACAGAGCAACGAUACGAUUUCUGGAUAACUUUGAUUUGCCGACAAACGUGUGCACAGCUUUGACGAACGUGCAACGAACUGUAA
rnacentral:misc_RNA from 1 species